rnacentral:lncRNA from 1 species
AAACAUUACGUUAAAAUCCGAAUCACUUUCAACAUAUUUUUCAAAACAUUCACAUUAUCAGAGUUUCCUAGAAAUCAUAAGUCUAAAAACGCGAGAAUGUGUAUAGUCACGCCUUCACCUUGACACGAUCUACUGAAUUACCUGAAACCAUAAACCAAAACUGUAAGCACGAAGCUUAGUGAAUUUCUCCUAGAAUACCAACACACAACAUAUAACAUAUACCACAAACAACAUGCAAACAUAGUCUUCAACAUGUUUGGGCCGCCUCACCGGGCCUUCAGCAUGUCUGGACCGCUCACAUAACCUUCAACAUGUAUGGAUCACCUCAUCGGGUCUUCAACAUGUCUGGACCGUUCUACUCAUGUUAAUCCGAGGACCAAAAAUGACAUACUUAAAACUCAAGGAAUGAAUGUGAAGUUACUUCAAAGAUGGGGUGUUACAUCCGAUCAAAAAUUUGAAUUGAGCACAACUGUUUGGAUUAGAAACUGAAAGAUGCAAAAUUUGUUUUCCACCAAUGGUGGUGACAGUUGUCUCGAUAAUAAUCAUAGUUCACUUCCAAAGACUUUGUCGUCUUCCUCUUUGUCGUUGUUACCAUAUUAGAAUUGGUAUGCUGCUACAAAAGGCUCUGAUGUAGCCUUGUUAGUUCCUUUGAUAUUGACUGACACCUUCGAUGUGUAACCUACUCUAUAAUUUCUUCCUCGGUUUAUUAGCUGAUUUGGGGACCCUUUCGUAUUUUGUGAACAAACAAAGCUAUUUUCACUUAAUAUUAUUUUCAAAUAAAAUAUUAUUUAAUAUUUAACUAUUUGUUUUCAUCAUUUGUUAUGUUGAAAUUAAUGCAACUUAGACUAUCCUUAUUCAUAACCAAAACCAACACAACUAUCCAUUAAAAAACUAAUUUCUUACUCUUCUACCUAUACAACCAAACUAAAUCCAAAUUUUCAUUCCCAUUAGACUAUAGGGUGUGGUGGGGUUCCUACCGCGGUUUGCCACCUCAACAGUGUCGCACACCGUCCCCUCCAUGCGGUUUCUAUUGCAGUUGAGCUUGCUGUGGUACUUCAUAGCCGUACUCUCUCUCUCUCUCUCUCACACACACACACACACACACUCACACACACACACCUCUUUCUCUCUACCAUAGUUUCCACACCUAGAGUGUGGCAAAGAACCACACUUUGUGUGGUAAAAUUGACAUGUCAUCCAUAUGGCGGCUACGUGGCAGAAGAGGAAGUGCGGUUUUUAUGGCACCAUACCAACCCGACCCAAAAUUAUUUUUUAUUAAAUAAAUACAAUUAAUAUAAUUUAAAAGUAUUUUUAUUCUAUCACAAGUUAUUAUAAAUGAUACGCAACAGAUAAAAAUCUGAUAACGAGUAAUCUAUGAUAAAAUAUAUAAAAUCAAAAGAUAUUUAAGCCCAUUUUUAAACCUAUCUUAAAUCAUAACAAAAUACAAAAGUUAUAAUAAAAUUUUCUAUACGAAUUGGAUAUUGAAGUUUCAUUCAAUGUAGAAUAUAAAACUCAAAAUAAUUUAACAUAUCUCAGAAAGAAAACUGCCAUUUUGAUCCUUUAAAUAUUAAAAUAUAACCCAACCUGGGUUUGAUACAAAAGCUUUGGUUGUUUGUUUGUUUUUUUAUUUGUCUUUAUUUUAAUAUUUUCUUCACCAACGAAUAGGUAAAAGAAAUAACCAAUGGUAUAGUCUUUCUAUUUGUUUUUAUCAUUUGUUAUAUUGACAUCAGAUGGGUACCAUUAAAGAAAAAAAAAAAAACUUCAUUCAUUUAAAGCAUUUUUUUGCUGUGUCACACAGUGUAUCUUAUUUACGAGUGAUCUUGUUCAUAGCAUUUAUUUUCUCUUGGUUCAACACUAUUUCUAAAAUGAUAAGCAAAAUCAAUUAUGUUUGGUCAAACUACCGAAUUUAUAGCAUUUCAUAUCAUGACAUUGCACUUUGAACCUCUACCCGAUUAGCCCAAUAAAGUUUGCUUUGUGUAAACGGAUAACAUUGCUGAUGAGUAGAUUUUCAAAAGUACUUUGAAAAACUAUAAAUUUUUUCUGUGAAAAUCUUGAUUUGGGUUAAAAAGUCUUUUCUUUGUUGUUAUAUUAUAGUGGCAAUGUGUGGUAGCGCCUGCUCAAAAUGGAUAAGAUAUAGUAUCUAAUAAGCAUGAUACGUACUAAGAGUGAAACUGAUAUCAGCAAAUUAAUACUUGCACAAUCUUUUUAGCAACAAAUAUAAUUAGAUCAAAUAGCAAAAAUUACCAUGAAAACAAAGAAUUCAGGCAUUCAUGCAUGAGGCUUCAAUUUCCAACUAAAAGUUAUUAACAUAACAAACAAACAGCAGUCCAUUUGUCAACAAGAAACUGGUUUAAUUCUGUGCUACCACCAAAAUCAUAACAAAACAUUUACAUUUAAUUUAGAGGGAGCGAUAGAAACACAAUCUCAAAACCCCAAAUCAUGAUUCCCAAUUUCUCAAACUCUCCAAAAGAACCCUUCUGCUCUUGUCUUCUAUCCAAUUGACCACAAACAAUUUACUCUCUUUUUGUUAUUUUUCUUACUUUAUCCUAGAAACGUUUCCACUCACACAAAUAAUUUGUGUUGGGCAGUCUACAUGAUCAAAUAUUUUCAGUUAUAUAUAUUAAGCAGCAUUGUUAAUUUCAAAAAUAGGAACAAUGCUGGAGUUUACAGGAAAUUUGUGCAACCUAGUACGGAAACUGGGAACUAAAUAACAGCUUAAACAUAUAUAUGAAUCGUGGGUGAUCCAGACAAAAAAAAACAAGAAGAAAGAAGAAGUAAUAACAAAAAGGUCGAAAUCAUUAAUGCUCUAGAAUUGGUCCCUAUGUUCAAAAAGUUACAGUCCCUUGUUAUGGAUAAAUGACAUUUAUAAUUAUACCCUCAUUUAUAGAAUUAAUGUUAUUGAAAAAAUGAAUACGAAUGUUAUGUAUGUUAGUCUCUAUGAGGUAAUGAGAAAAAACAGAGUAAUUUAGCAAGAACAAGACCACUGAGAACCAACACAAAGGUUUAAUUGUAUCAUCAACAUUUUAGACGUGCAUCAACAAUAAAUUAACAAUAGAGUACUUCGACAUUUAAGUUCUUAAUAAUGCAUGAAUGCCAAGUAGAAAACAGAAAAAUACGUAUUCAAGUUCAUAUUUGCAUUAUCUCGGUCUUAAUAACACAAUACCAUGAAGACAAACAGAUAAUGUAGAUGAAUAAAAUCAGUAAUAACCAGCAUACAAAUAGUUAGCCACACAAGAAACUACUAAUAUUGAAACAUAGAGAUGAAGGCCUCGUUUGUUUUUCUACUACAAAAGUACUUUUUGAGCACUUUUCCCUUCUGGCGGGUAGACGUUUUGCAAGUGCACGUCUUCUUCCGCAAACUUGGAAAAAGACAAAAGACAUUUAACCACUUCCAAAACAAACAGCACCGAAGAAUACCUGUUGCGACAGAAUGCGUGUUGCACAGCAGAGCUCGAAGUGGAGAAAGAAGAAACCCUAUUCGAUUGACACAGAUACAACGAUUUUGCAGGCCGUGGAGAAGACGCAAACGUAUUAUAUAUGGGAUGUAUCCUUUUAUUAUUAGGUUACUAGGUCUCAGACCCAUGUAUUAUAUACACUAGGUCACAAUUCCCACGGGUAAAAUAUUUUUAAAAUUUUAUUAUUUAAUAAGAUUAAAGUUUUCUAAAACUUUUGUAUUGUUUGUUUAAAAUUAAUAUAUAUUUAUUUAAACAUCCGAUAUACGUUAUGUAUGUAGCUAAAUUCAAACAUAGUCUAAAUGUUUUGGGUGCCAUAACACUAAACAAAAAAGAAAAUACUAUUUUCCAUGUUUAUGGAUUAACUAAAACUUUAGAGAAUGUUCAUACAUAAAAAAUAAAAUAUAACGAUUUUUUGAACCGAUAAAAAAUAGAAUCUCAAACAACUUCUAUUAAAACAUGAAAAUUUUAACUACUUAAAAGCUAAAUCAUCUAAUUUAUUUAUCAAACAUGAAGGGUUACAAAGAUAAACAUUAUAUAUUGUACUUUAAAAUUUUGAUCUUGCAAUUUGACCAUUUCAUGCAAGUACAUUGUCGUCCUACCACCAUUUACUUAGAUUAUCUAAAAAGAUCAAACGUAUAUUUUUACUUGAUAACAUUGGGUAAAAUUUCAUCAAAAUUUUGAGAGCAAACGUAUAUUUUUACUUGAUAACACUGGGUAAAAUUUCAUCUUCUCUUUCUUAAUUGAGAUAUUAAUUUUACAUUAAGUCAAACUUCAGAGCAAGAACAUUGAUUGAGAUUAACACUUAAGUACCCAUAUUUGAAUUUCAUGAGUAUUUUAUCUCUAUUUUUCUUUUGAAGGAGCACUUUAAAAUGUUGUUACCUCAUAACUAUAGCAUGCACCUUUCCAACACUCAUAAGACUUUUAUGGAUUCCAAUAAUCUUUUGCAAGUUUUUAGAUUUUUUGCAACCACAUAUUGGAAUGAAAUGGAACAUUCCGGUUCUUAAAAAGUGAUUUUAUUCGUAAACAUAGUGUAAAAAGGAACCAUUUUGCCCCUGUAGUCAAAUAUAUUUAUUAAUUUUUUUUUACUUAAUAUAAACCAAAAGAAUUAAUAAAAAACAAAAAAAAAAAAAUAGGGGCUUGAUCUUACCUCAAGCAAAUAGGAUACUACUUGGUCUAGAGACAAAGUCUCUCCGUCUAUGGUAAUAUGCGUCCAGGCUUUAGAAUAUCACUCAUCCUAAACCUAUAAAAAAAUAUUCUCAAAACCUAUUAAGAAUUAAAAUAAAAUUAUAAUCCAUUUUGGUUUUCAUUUCGGGUGGUCAAAAGUGCAUUCAACUAAUCCAAAUCCUAACCAGGUAAUUCAAAGCGGGUCUUUAACCAUAAAAAAUGCAAGAAAUAAUAAUGUACUUUCUAUUUAAAGAACAUUAUUAUAAAUAGAUAGAUAUUUCAAACUAUAACGUUGUAACAGGAAAAAAUAAAAAUUAAGAUGCUAUCAAAAGUCAAACAUAGCAGCCUAUUCCAAUUUAACCUUGUUCAGUUUGUUUAAAAUUUACAAUAUAUCUUCAUGCUCUUGUAUAAAAUAUCAUAUAUUUGAUCUGUUCUACAAUGUAUCUUAAAACUUUACAGAACACACCUAAUUAAUUUCAUAUGUACAAUCUACUACACAUAAUUGUUUUAGAAUUAUAAUUAUAAUUAAUAAAUAUGAACAAUCAUACAUACAUUUUCAUCUUAAUUAUGAAACUACUUUUUUAUAGUCAUAUCCAGAAACAAAAAACUAAAACAUGAUUCCAAAUUAUAAAAAAAUAAAAAUUUGACACCCAGAUGCUUACAUGCUAAAUUCCAAACAUGAUUGUUAUGAGGUAAUACAUUUAUCUCUAAACACAAAUACACAGCUACACAAAAAUAUAUUUUAAGCAUUAAAGCACAAGAGAACAUAACUAAUAGAUAACAUAUACCUUUAUUGCCCCAUGAAAAUUGGUUUGACAGACAAUUUGCCUGUCAUCUGAUAAUAACCCAAUCCUUAUUCUUUGAGUAUACAAAAUUCAUUUAAAAGAAUUUCGACACCAAGGAUAGGAGACUGUCAAAAUCCUAAUAAUAAAAGUUAGAAAUACACAUACCUUAAAACUACCAAAUACACAUACCUUUUCACCAUGUUCAACAACAUAUGCAAAAUAACCCUCACCAAUUGAUUAGGCCAGUGAUCCCUGUCUGGCAAGCAUAAAAACGAAACUACAAAACUGAUGUAAGCAUACUUAUAGAAUUGCCCUUUUUUGGUGAUGUUCUAUAGACCUGACACUACACAUGAGACCAAAGAUAUUUGGUUGAGAAGAUGAAAAAUAAGCAAAAAUUAAAGAAAAAGAAGAGUGUCAAAGGAACUCCAUAUGCAGAAAUCCAAAUGAUUUCCCCUACAACGAUUAAGGUUUUCCUUCCACCCAUAGCGAUCUAGGCAAAUCUCUGUCUACUCGACAAAAAUAUAACAAACCUCUCACCAAUAGCUAUAAAUUCUUGAUAUAUAGAGAAGAGAAGAUCGAUUGGGUUGUUGGGGGUAGGGGGUAUUCAAAAAUGGAAAGAAUUUAAACAAAAAAACGUAAAUCUACAAAAUCGAAAUCGACCUCUAAUAAAUCGUUUGUACUGUGGAUGGAAUGGAGGAUCGAUUCGGAGACCAUCACAUAGUCGUAAAUAACCCUCAUGAAAACUUGAACCAUAUCAAUUCUCUGGCAGAUAAGAGAAGGAAUGAGAUAGAGAGGUGUAUUCGUAAUCCAUAAAAAGCUGCAACAUGGUUGUUGAUUUCUUGAGAUGUAGAUAGAAAUCAAUUUCGGUAUAUCCCUAAUUUUAUGCUGAGAACUUUAAAAUCAGAAACCGAAUCACAUAGAGGAACAUACAUAUUAAGGGGGUAUGUUGUUGACGAUCUAAUCAAAGAAAAUGAACCAAGUUUCCAAAAUAAAUGAGAGAUUUGGGGAAUAAACGGACGCCACGUAGGAAUAAAGAUAUUACAGGUUUUAAAAGUUGAGGGGCAAAUCAGGUAGUUUAUUUUGAAAUUUCUUUAGCACGAG